UACAGAGGUCCCAAGCGUUGUUCGGAUUCAUUGGGCGUAAAGGGUGCGUAGGUGGCAUGGUAAGUCGGGUGUGAAAUCCCGGGGCUCAACCCCGGAACUGCACUCGAUACUGCCGUGCUCGAGUACUGGAGAGGAGACUGGAAUUUACGGUGUAGCAGUGAAAUGCGUAGAUAUCGUAAGGAAGACCGGUGGCGAAGGCUAGUCUCUGGACAGUUACUGACACUGAGGCGCGAAGGCCAGGGGAGCAAACGGG
rnacentral:rRNA from 1 species